GGGGCUGAUUCUGGAUUCGACAGGAUUCGCGAAACCCAAGGUGCAUGCCGAGGUGCGGUAGGCCUCGUAAAAAAACCGCAAAAAAAUAGUCGCAAACGACGAAAACUACGCACUCGCAGCUUAAUAACCUGCCGAGCGCCCUCUCUCCCUAGCCUCCGCUCUUAGGACGGGGAUCAAGAGAGGUCAAACCCAAAAGAGAUCGCGUGGAUGCCCUGCCUGGGGUUGAAGCGUUAAAUCUAAUCAGGCUAGUUUGUUAGUGGCGUGUCCGUCCGCAGCUGGCAGGCGAAUGUAAAGGCAGGACUAAGCAUGUAGUACCGAGGAUGUAGGAAUUUUGGACGCGGGUUCAACUCCCGCCAGCUCCACCA
rnacentral:tmRNA from 2 species